GUCAUAUUUUUGUACUCAAUCUCUUUGGUCAUGGUUACCAAUUUAAAACUUGAAAGACAAUUUUUAGGUUUUGGAGAAAGGAGAAUGAAGAGCGAGAGGAGGAAAGGGAUGAAAAGGGAAGGAGAGUGGGAAUGGGGAGGAGAGCUUGAGAGACCUUUAAAACUACUCAAAGAAACCUAUUUCAUGAAUGUAGAAAUGAGUGGCAUGGGAGAGACAAUUAAAAUCAACUUCAAGCAUCCAAGCUCUUGCAAAGGUAUAUGUCUUUCUUUUAUUAAAAUAAGUUGGAUACAUUGUAUUAUUUUCUUUUUUAUCUGUAUAUGUUAUAUCAACGAAUUGAUCACCAAUUGCCUCUCUCCUGCUGCAUGCAGACUUUCAUCCGAAGACAGAAGAGUUGAGCUUGGAGUAUCACAGAACAAGGCCAGCGGAUCAUCAGGUGAAGAAAAUCUGCAAGAGAAAGAAAUCAUGAUUUGCAGCAAACUUCAAGUACGUAUUUUCUCUCUAUCUUGCUAAAAUUAAUAUUUGGUUCAAUUUUUUUUUGUUUUUGUUUUUUUGUGUGUACUGUUUCAAUUGUAGAAGAAUUGCCAAAACACAAGCAGAUUGAUAAAGGCAGGCAUGAGUGAGCAAGUUUUGUGACCAUUAUGUAGAGCCAUAAUGUUAUGGAACAAGAUAAACACAAAUUUUUUGAUUGUGAAAAUUCUUCUAGUGUACAUGCAUUGAAUUCUAAUUGUAAAUUGAUAUUGUGGUAUAAAUUAUUAGUGUGAUUUUCCAUUAAUUUUCAUGGUGAAUGAUUACUUUGGAAUUUUAGGAAUUUUGUGGGGUGUACCGAAACGUCAUUAUCUAAUGUUAUUUACAACAGUGGUUUUUCAUAGAAAACAUUAUCUAAUGUGAUUUUCUACAAUGAUUUUAUAAACAAUCUAAUACUAUUUUCACAACGAUUUUAGAUAACAACCGUUGUGGAAGGUGAUCAAUUACAACGGUUUUAGGUAAUGACCGUAGUGGAAGUAGGGAAAUUACAACAUCUCUAAAUAAAACUGUUGUAGAAGUGAUAAAUUACAAAGGUUUUAUGUAAAAACCGUUGUGGAAGGAUGCAAAUUACAACGCUUGUUAUUUAAAACCAUUGUUGAAGUUAACCAAUUACAAUGAUUGUACAUUAAAAGAAGGGUGGAAGGUGACCAAUUACAAUGGUUUUCAUAGAUAACAUUUGUGGAAGAAUACAAACUACAACAGUUAUCAACCAUUGUAUAUAAAGUGUAGAAUAGACGACACUGCUAAAGUCAAAGGUUUUAGAACUGAAAUCACAACGGUUUUCAGCCGUUGUCUAUUAGAGUCAUAUAAGAUUUGGGGUUGUUCUAGAGGUGGCUAAUUCAAUGUGAUAAGUUCAUAAUUUCAUACAUUCGCAUGCCUUCUUUAUUUAGUGCCUGUUUGGCAUUGCUUAUUUAGGGUAAUAAGUGAUUUUAAAAAAAAAUUUGAGAAGCCCAACCCGUUUGGUAAAAUGUGAGAAAAUCACUUAUUGUUAAAAAUUGUUGUGAGAGAAAGCUAUAAGGGAAAGCAGCUAAUGAGGUGCUUUGGUUUUCUGAUUAUGCAUGAAUCAGUUUCGAAGAGGCGAUGGGUUUAAUGAUUAUGCGGCAAUCAUUUUCUGAUUAUGCUUAAAAUCAAUACCAACAACACUUUUAACAAAAAUUUUACCAAACGCCAAACUGCUUUCUCUCACAGCAAAUCUGACAGCGAUUAUUUUCACAGCACAGCAAUGCCAAACUGGCCCUUAGUGACUUUGCUUAGUUUCUUUUUUCUUUUUUGUAGGUUAAGACACUAAAGAAGGCAUGCGAAUGUAUGAAAUUACGAACUUAUCACAAUGUAAGAAUUUAUUAGAGUCAUAUAGAAGGGCCAAGACUACAAAGAGAUUAUGAAGAUCUUGUACAUGUAUAAAUCAUUAUAACUUUCAUAGUCCCUCAUGUCAUGUAUGGUUAAGAUUUUCAAUCAGUGUUAUUAACUUCUAGAAAUUUGAUUAUGACAGCAUCUCAUAUAUCUCAAAGGUUUUAGAGUUAUCAAGAGAUAACAAAAAGAGAAAGGAAAUUUGUUCUUUCAUAAGUAAUAACAAAAAGGAAAGCAAAAACAAGAACAUCCACCUUAUUCUUGGUAGUUCUCAGUGGCCAAUGUCGUGGCAAGUUCAAGAAUUUGUUGGACAUUUAACUGUCAAUUCAGUUCAGUCCACCAACCUAUUGUUGGCGUGAGUCCUAUUUUAGAUAGGAAAUUAAUAUAAAGAUUCUUGUAAAUAUUGUAUUACUUGUUCUAUUAAGAUUAGCUUUUAUCUUUUUCUUGGGUAAAAAGACAUUGUAC
rnacentral:lncRNA from 1 species